UGAUGGCUGUUCUUCUCACUCCCUGGAGCCUUAGGUAGUGGGUUUUAAUACAUCAUAUAUCUAAACUGACUUGUCUUCACUCAGGGCACUAUGGGGAUGAGUUGGCUAUGGGGUAGCAUCUACUGAUUUUUGCGGAGUCAAAACAACU